rnacentral:rRNA from 1 species
UAUGGUGCAAGCGUUAUCCGGAUUUACUGGGUGUAAAGGGAGCGCAGGCGGUGCGGCAAGUCUGAUGUGAAAGCCCGGGGCUCAACCCCGGUACUGCAUUGGAAACUGUCGUACUAGAGUGUCGGAGGGGUAAGUGGAAUUCCUAGUGUAGCGGUGAAAUGCGUAGAUAUUAGGAGGAACACCAGUGGCGAAGGCGGCUUACUGGACGAUUACUGACGCUGAAGCUCGAAAGUGCGGGUAUC